CACGUAGGCGGGUCGCUAAGUCGGGGGUGAAAUCCUGGAGCUCAACUCCAGAACUGCCUUCGAUACUGGCGACCUUGAGUCCGGGAGAGGUGAGUGGAACUCCGAGUGUAGAGGUGAAAUUCGUAGAUAUUCGGAAGAACACCAGUGGCGAAGGCGGCUCACUGGCCCGGUACCGACGCUGAGGUGCGAAAGCGUGGGGAGCAAACAG
rnacentral:rRNA from 1 species